GUAGGGAAUAUUGGGCAAUGGUCGGAAGACUGACCCAGCCAUGCCGCGUGCAGGAAGACGGCCCUCUGGGUUGUAAACUGCUUUUAUCUGGGAAGAAAAAGGCCAUGCGUGGCAAAUUGCCGGUACCAGAUGAAUAAGCACCGGCUAACUCCGUGCCAGCAGCCGCGGUAAUACGGAGGGUGCAAGCGUUGUCCGGAUUUAUUGGGUUUAAAGGGUGCGUAGGCGGCUGAUUAAGUCAGCGGUGAAAGACUGCGGCUUAACCGGAGCAGUGCCGUUGAUACUGGUUAGCUUGAGUGUUGGAGGGGUACAUGGAAUUGAUGGUGUAGCGGUGAAAUGCAUAGAUACCAUCAGGAACACCGAUAGCGAAGGCAUUGUACUGGCCAACAACUGACGCUGAUGCACGAAAGUGUGGGGAUCGAACAGGAUUAGAAACCCGGGUAGUCC
rnacentral:rRNA from 1 species